UUACAUGUUUAGUCUAUAUCGGACUAUUGUAUCGAACGGUUGUACAAUAACUUGAGCAAAACGUGCAGAAAGUGUGUGUUUGAAAACAAAUGCAAUUUUAAAAGAACGAAGUCUUGUUAUUUUUUUUGUACGUCUUCUUUGAAUCGGCAAAGGCGCCAAGAAUUUUUUUAUCGUAAUUUUCGGUUUUAUUCCAAAGAAAACUUUUUUGAAUUGUACAAAUAAGGUGGACAAUUUUGAAAAUAUUGGGCGAGUUGCCUACUCGUUUAAGCGGACAUUUAAAAUCGUUUUGAAGUUUUUCGGGUUUUAAGCCGUUAGUGAUUUUUUGAAGGAGAAAAAAAUAAAAAAUAAAACAAACAUGAUAUAAAAUUACGAAUUUAUAAAAGUUCACUUUAAAGGCCAAAAAAAAAAAACAAAAUAACCUUAAAUUUAUUUUUAUAAAACCUGCCUUAAAUCCUCUCUUAACUGCCUUAUUACCAAAUAAAAAAAAUAUUCAAAAGUCUGUGAAAAGCAAAUGUAGUGAUAUUUUUAUAUAGAAAAAAAUAAAAUUUAAAAAUUUUUCUUAUAUAAAUAAUAAGUUUAAAACAACACAAAUUGUUAAGAAAUUAGUUUUACAUUUUUCGGGGAAAGAUUUUUCGCCAAUUAAUUGCUCGUAAUUAACUAUUUCUUUUAAUCGGUAUUUGAAUUUUUUAACAUAAAUGAUAUUUGCGAAAUUUUUUUAUUUUUGGGCAGUAUGCGGUAAUUGUAAAAAGUUACGUUAUCUCCAAUAAAAAAGAAAAAAUAAUAACAAAUCAAACAACCAACCAACAACUAAAUAAAUAUCCAUCCAACAACUCAAACCAACGUCAAUCCAACACAAUACAACUUUUUUCACUCACUCUACCUACCAACUAUCACUGCAACUUGCAUCUGAUCAAACACGGAUAUUUUUCAGUAGUUUGUUAUAUAUUGCUUUGUUGUUGUUGCUUUACAAUUUGCUUUUGCAUUUGGACUGCAAUCGAUCAAACAACACGAAACCCGACGAGUUCGGUUGCAACGAAACUUGUCUGUUGUUUUUUAUACAACCAAUGAUUGAGGCGAUUAUAAUUAUGAUUACGUUCGUUUGUUCGUUCGUUCAUUGAUACAUCAUACUUGCUCUCAUACCAAGGUCAAUAAACGUAAGAUUGCACGCGAUAUCAAUACAACAACAGUAACAACAAUAAUAAAAAAUAUAUAAAAAACCGGGGUCAACGGUAGGAAGGAGUAUACGAUCGUACCGUAUACGUUCACUCACUCUAUGUGUUUGUUUUGAUGUAUGAAAUUUAUAAUGAAAAUAAAAUGUGAAAUUAUUCAAUACAAUAAAAUGAAAAUUAAAAUUAAAGAAAAUUGCAACAACUAACCAAACCAAAAAUAUUGUUUACAACAAUACAAGUAUGAAAUCUUAUUAAUAAUCAUUUCAAUAAAACCAGUGAUUUAAGUGGAUUAAUAAAAUAUAUCAAAUGAAAAAUAAUUCAAACACUCACUCCUCCAAACAAAAAAUAAAUAAUAAUAAAAACAAAAUCACGACAAUUUCUUUGACAACACAAAAAAGCAAAACAAAAGAGGUUGUCAACACUAACUAAUUUUAUUUCAAAUUUGGUUUGUUUCCCACAUCAUGCUCUUUAUAUAUUAAGGACUUCAAUGAGUUGCAAGAGAACGCAUGACUUAAUUCGAUGCAUGAUCCUUCAAACAGAUAUAAAUGCGUCCCCAAAGACAAAGUGUGGGAUUUGUUGAUAUUAAGGCCAAUAAGACACCAUUUAUUAAGCGGAUACGUUGCAAAAUUAAAUCCUUAAAUCAAAGCAAAACUUUUACUAUAAAAUGAUAAAAAUCUAAAAUUCGCGUGUCUUAAACGCGAGUGUAAUGCAGAACGAAAUUUAUACAAAAUAAAAAUUUGAGCAAAGAAAGUAAUAAUAUGAAAAAAUGUUUGACAUUUUAAUAAAUUUAACAAGUAUUAAUUUAAUCAAAAUAAACAUAAAAACGUUACUUACAAUUAAUUUUUUCAUAUCAAUGCAAUUGUAAAGUGAAAGCGAUUAAAGUAAAAAAGUGUUAAAAAAUAACUAAAUUAAAGGUUUUGAAUAAUAAUUUCCAACUCAUCUUUUAACGCAUCUGUGAAAUCAAAAUUUAAAACAAAUGUCAACAAAUACUGCCUUUAUAAACAAAAGAUUCUUAUACAAAACAACAACAGCAAAUCAUAAAACUAUUAUUAUACAUUGUGGAAAAUUUAUAAUUAUAUUAAAACUGACAAUAUACAUAUAUUUUUUAAAAUACAACAACAAAAAGACUUAUCAUCACCUUUUUUAUACACCAACUGGUUGCCUUAAUCCAAAUUUUACUCAAAUAAAAAACUUUUAUUAAAAAUUAGAAAUAGUAGUAAAUAGUAGUUAAACAAAAAUUUUUUAUACAAAU
rnacentral:lncRNA from 1 species